UACGUAGGUGGCAAGCGUUGUCCGGAUUUACUGGGCGUAAAGAGCGCGCAGGCGGUCGUUUAAGUCGAAUGUGAAAGCCCCCGGCUCAACUGGGGAGGGAUAUUCGAUACUGAUCGACUUGAAGGCAGGAGAGAGAAGUGGAAUUCCCGGUGUAGUGGUGAAAUGCGUAGAUAUCGGGAGGAACACCAGUGGCGAAGGCGACUUCUUGGCCUGUUCUUGACGCUGAGGCGCGAAAGCUGGGGGAGCAAACGGG
rnacentral:rRNA from 1 species